rnacentral:rRNA from 1 species
UACGAAGGGGGGCUAGCGUUGUUCGGAUUUACUGGGCGUAAAGGGUGCGUAGGCGGAUUUUUAAGUCAGGGGGUGAAAUCCCAAGGCUCAACCUUGGAACUGCCUUUGAUACUGGGGGAUCUUUGAGUCCGGGAGAGGUGAGUGGAACUGCGAGUGUAGAGGUGAAAAUUCGUAGAUAUUCGCAAGAACACCAGUGGCGAAGGCGGCUCACUG